UGCUUGUGGGAUUUUCAUGAUGUUUCAGGUUUAUACGCGCUUUCUCCCUGAGGUAGCAGUGGGAUAUGAGGAUCCCAGAGUGCAAGUACACAUAUCAAAUGGGAGUUGAGUUCAUGAAUACUGUUCCUCAGGGCACAUAUGAUGCCAUCAUGCUUGAUGCUUUCCAAAACAUGGGUCCUACAUCAAAAGAACUUUCUGAGCAAGGGCUCUUCGCCCCGGGGAUGUUAUGUCUACCCCGGCAGACAGCUUCUGGCAUAAAGACUUUGUUCACUGUGCAGAUACCAUAGCAAACUGCCGAAAAAUAUUUAAGGGCUCUGUCAACUAUGCCUGGACAACAAUUCCUGCAUAUGAAAGGCAAGAGGUCCUUUGCAAUUAGAACUUGGCUGGUUAUUUUAUACUAUUGCUGAUGCAUUUCAUGGUGGUAAUGGGGUUCACGCUGUGCACCACCGAAGGGUGCCACCAGUCGACUUUAAACAUCCCAUCAAUCAGUUAAACUCGGAAAACCACGGUGUGGCUAAAGGUACCUCCAAAAUUCUACAACACACAAGUACUGCUGAUUUUUACUUUCCAUAACUGUGUAACUGUGUUUUGGCCUAUUCUCUGUUGUUUUGGAUGCUUUAUUGGGUCCCUAAUGGAUUUGCUUUCCUCUGUUUUCACUCUUGCAGAAGCACAACGCUGCCUUCCAAGUGCCUUGUUUUGUAGACAAGGCUCUAGGAAAUCAAGGAUAGCUCCUGUAUGUCGUCUGUGAUGCAGGCGCAUCUGACUGUCAGUUCUGCUUUGAAUCGAACACGGUCUCAAUUGGACACCAAAAUAAACUGAAAUUGAUUCAUUUCUUUUUCCCUCUUUGUAUGAUCUAUAAUUCUAAUGAAAAACCAUACAUUUCUGU